rnacentral:rRNA from 1 species
UACGUAGGGGGCAAGCGUUGUCCGGAUUCAUUGGGCGUAAAGAGCGUGUAGGCGGCCAGGUAGGUCGGUUGUGAAAACUGGAGGCUCAACCUUCAGAGGUCGACCGAAACCAUCUGGCUAGAGUCCGGGAGAGGAGAGUGGAAUUCCUGGUGUAGCGGUGAAAUGCGUAGAUAUCCGGAGGAACACCGGUGGCGAAGGCGGCUUCCUGGACCGAUACUGACGCUGAGGCGCGAAAGCUAGGGGAGCAAACGGG